rnacentral:lncRNA from 1 species
GGGGAAAAAAAGAAGGAAAAAAAAAAGGAAAAAAAAAAAGGAGAAGAAGAAAAUCGCCUUUUAACAACGUGCUAAGGAAGAUCUAAGGGACCCUCCCCGCAGACAAUGGGGGAAACGUGCCCUUUCCCAAUCCACAUCUGGGUGUCUGAUCCGUCGGGCAGCCGCCGGCAGCAGCCUCGCUGUGUGUAUUGGAGCCCCCCCGGGUGUUUACACGAGCCCCCCCUGGCCGGGGGGGGGUUCCCCAGGCGGGCCGGGGCUGCCCGGAGCCGACAGCCCCCGGCGCCUGUCCUGCAGCCCUGCUCCGAGCGGAGAGAAGGAUUGAGCGUUUGCACGCGGGCAGGAUCUGGCCUGGGGAUCUGCGUAGCGCGGCGCUGGGUCCCAUAAAUCUCGGAGGGGGGAAAGGGCGGCGAGGCGCUCGUCGAAUUGUGAAACCAACCGCGGGAGCAAACGCAAGGAAGGGCACGUCGGGAGCGCCUCCGAGUGAAGCGAAAGCCCUUGUGUAUUUUACAUCUUUUUCUCAUUAGAGGCGGCGCAGGUUGCAGCCUGUUCCAAGUCGCUUUCUUGGCUAAUGUUUUCAUUAGGGUUUCGAUCAAAAGGAGCAGGACGCGGCGCUCGGCGAGGGCGAAACGUUCAGCGAGCCGGAGUCCAGGGAGAGAGAGAAAGAUCCCAGUCUGUCUCGCCUUGACAGAAACGUCCCGCUCCGCGCUGCUUUUGUGCAAAGGCUCUGAGGCUGGCGUACGACCCGAAAUCGAAAGCAGCUGCAAACCUCCCGGCCCCCUCCCCUUCGCCCCCCCGACCCCCGCCGGCCGGAGCCGGGGACUCACCCUAACCCUGGCCUCGGUGAGGUUGGUCCAGACGGCGAUCUCCUCCCGGGUGGACAUGUCCGGGUAGCGAUUCCGCUGGAAGGUGGCCUCCAGCUCCUGCAGCUGCUGGCUGGUGAAGUGAGUCCGCUGCCGCCGCUGCCUCUUCUUCUUGGAGGGGUCCUCGGGCCCCGCAUCCUCGCUUUUGCUCUGCUGGCUCUUCUCUUUCUCUGCAAGGGCGAGGAG